UCGCAAAUAUAACACAAAAGAGGAAGCAAUCUAAAAUUUUUAGAGAAAUUUCCACUUAUGGAAUCAUGUCCUAAAGAUACAAUCAUAGAAGUCAAAUAGAAUGAGAUAGGAACAUCCGAGGACUCACCCUGAGGCCUUAACAAAUAACAAGUAUAAAAACCCAUCUCCCCCAUCUACCAAAAUCAUUAAUCCAUAAACAAUUUUCUUUGGCAACACAACAACUUAACCGUGCUGCGAUUUCUUGUUUCAUUCCUUCAUCUUCUUGAGAUAUUAUUUAGAAAGAAAAAACAAUGAGCAGGGAAGGAGAUUGGAUUUGCGCUUCAAGUUCAUGCCAACAUUUGAACUUUAAAAAGCGGGAUUCAUGCCAGAGAUGUGGGUGCUCCAAGUUUGGAGGAGGCAGUGAAGUGUCGUCCUACAGGACGGAAGUCUUGGCUGGGGACUGGUACUGCAAUGUCAUUAAUUGUGGAGCACACAACUACGCGAGCCGACAAAGCUGCCAUAGAUGUGGCGCAUCCAAACAUGACUAUACCGAGUAUGUUGGAAGCAUGAUGACCUCAAGCGGUUGCGUAUAUGAUGGCAGUGGCCUCCCUGGAUGGAAAAAGGGUGACUGGAUUUGCACCAUACUUGGAUGUGGUGCACACAACUAUGCUAGCAAGAUGGAGUGUUACAAAUGCAGAAUGCCAAGACAAAUUUAGUGCUCGAAUCCAUGGAGUCACAAAAGCAAACUUGAUUCAGUUCCCUUCAAAUCUUCAAUUACCAAAUUAUCUUCUUCUUUGUUUCAAUUCUUCUUCUUUUUUUCUUUCCUUUUUUUGCCCUCAAUUUAAUAAGCUUUAGAAUCAUAGUUAUGAUGUACUUGCCCAAAUAAGUGUAUUUUCCUCAAUAAAUGGUUCAAUAUCAUGCAAGGUGUUCUUACAUGAAGCUAUCAAAUGCACUUGUUAAUAAAAUGUGAAAGCAAAAUUAUACA